rnacentral:lncRNA from 1 species
AGUAACCUAUGGAAUAAAAGACACUGAGGGGACAAGAAAAGGAGGAAAGAAGCGAUGUGGAACAACAGGGUUUCUCAUAUUUGCUGUUUGAUGCUUCUGGCUUUGCUUCAAACCACUGCACCCUCCUCAGCACAGAACAUUGGCAUUUAUCUACAACGACCAGUUGACCUGACGGUGGCUCAGGGGAAACCUGUGGCGUUUCGCUGUGGAGUUCCCAAAGCCUUUCCACAGGUCACACUCAUCUACACUGGAAAGUUAGGCACGUACAACCUCACCUGCCCCAAUGGCUCCAUAGAAGCUGUCCCCAAGACUUUGUACGGUCAGUGUGAGCUGAAGGACGGACAGUCAGUGGCCACAUGGAGCCUCACUAAGGCCUCUGUGUCAGACAGCGGCACACAAGUGAAGUGUCAGCAGCCCAACAGCCAAGACGCCCCCGUCGCCAUCCUCAGUGUUUACGCUUUGAGCAGCAACCACAGCGUUCUCGUCGCAUGUUCUCUCGGGGGCUUCUUCGUGACCCUCCUAGUGUUUGGCAUGUUGUGCCUGCUCCUGCAGAAAUCCGAGGCCUUCAGGCAGUGCUUCAAGGGAAAAGACACAGAUGAUGAUCUGAGCACAAUAGUAUCUGAUUAGUCCUUUACAUUGUAUUGUAUUGUAAUGUAUUGUACCAGUAAUGUACUAUAAUACACCACAAUGCAUUUUUCAUCAGCAUUCUUUGUUCCAGUAGAUAAUGUAACAGCAGUGACACACUUUCACCACUUGAUGGAAGCAUUUAGUAUGAAGUCAACAGCCAGGAUUUAAUGAGCAGCCACUUUCCCAUUAAAGAAGCGCUGUAAAUAUCUGCACCUUUAUAAAUUUCUCACGUUUUUCCAGAGCUUCGUAUUUCUAGGGUUCAUAUGUUUUUCAUUUUUCACCUCUUGUCUGUUCCAAAUCAGAUUUUUGUGGCUAUUGGCGGGUUAGAUGUGAAGAAAUGUUAGAUAUUAUCUAAAACACACUCUGGAUCUUUAUCAUGUAACAGUUUCUCUGUGCUUCAGUGAACCUGACUGAUAAACGUGGCUUAAAUAUACAUGAACCAGACCCUGUUGAUGGGCAGCUGACUCUGACUGCUCUGUGGCUUUUUCCAUGUUUACCCUUGUUCAGCGUAUCAGCAGAGCCACCAGAGAGUACACACCAGGGCUACGGACACACUUAUGAGCACAUGACCACAACCUUGAAAUGUCUGAGUUCCCUAACAUACAGUAGCUGCUAUUAUCAGCUAUCCUAAUACUGAGCGCCUUAACCUUGUUUCUUUAUGUUGUUUUGUUUAGAAAGCAAAAAAGAAAUUUCCACAAAUAAAUAAUUCAGAUUCCUUCA